ACGCCCCAAAAUCUAAUAGUUGAUAAAUAAGGCAUUUACUAGAAUUAUGUGUGAAAUAACUUAACUAGGAUUAGUUAACCUAGUUUGUUUUUCUAUGUUAGUUACAAGAAGGAAAUAAAUAAAUUAUCAAAACUACAAGGGUUAAUCUUGUACCUUUUAAAUAAAGUUUGGUUAAGUAGUGGAAGAUCACAAACAUCAGACAUAAGUCUGAUGUUGGUGUCGAUGCAAGCCAAGGGCCAAGAAGGGUUUCUCAUGAUGAUGAAAUGUUGAAGAAUUGAAGCAAAAUCCAGCCUUAAUUCUCUUGCAUGUGUAGAGAUUCUACAUCAAAAAGCUAUAUGAAACAUGUGUAUAGGGAUCAUGUCGAGAUGGAUGGAAGCAUAAAGGGCUAACGGGUCACGAGGACAUGAGGAAACGAGAGCGAAUAUGGAUGCGUAAGGUUAUGAAUGUCGGACUUUCGAAGUGUUGAUAUAGUAAUGGAAUGGUUGAAUGUUAGAAGGAUAAUCGGGUUGAAGUAACUUAAGAGGUAAAUCCUCAAUUUAGGCGACUCGGCGAAUUGGAGCGAGCACGUGUUCUUCAUAUGUGAUGCCAAGCGCUUCCGCUAGUUGAUACUAAUGUUUUGGGUCAAAAUAACUUUUUGUACAAUUUGUUAGUAGACGCAGUUUGUUUUGUAUUCGAUGUUUGGUUUCAAUAGUAUCUUGUAGAAUGGUAUUUGUCUUGGUUAUGGUUCAAACAGGGAUUUACGCAUUUUAUGAACGGGUCAUGCCCAAAUUUUUUCAAAAUCAUGUGUUAAUGUUACUAGCGUUUUACCCUUUUAAGUUGUGAAAGAUUUGUGCAUUUUAGAAGUUUAUGUUUCUAGCGCCUUUUGGAUGUCAUUUCUUUUAGACGCAAAUACGGACAUAACAUAAUUUUUAAGGAUUUUUAGGGACGACCUUGUCUCUAAAGCUCAUUAUCUUUUACAUAGAGGUGGAAAAUUGGUUAGGUUGGGGUGUCAAGCAGGUUAAAAGCCGUAAAGUAUGACUGAUAUGACUUUAUGUGCAGGGGUCCUCAUCAGACAAUGGGGCUUACAUUUACUACCAAACUCUUUAGCUGGCUUUUCACCAAGAAAGAAAUGGGUAUAUUGAUGCUGGGCUUGGAUGUUGCUGGUAAGACAAUCAUUUUGUACAAGCCCAAGUAGGGAGAUUGUGACUACCAUCCCUACCAUUGGGGAAGAAGAAGAGAGUAUCGUCAAAUGUAUGGUGUAUUGGUGUUAUUAUUGCGACAAAUAAUUCGAUGGUGAGAAGAUCUUGGUUCAGCACCAGAAGCCUAAGCAUUUCAAGUGUCAUGUCUGCCACAAGAAGCUAUCAAGCGCUGGUGCUAUGGCCAUCAAAACUGGAAUAUGGAUAGCAUUUUAUUCGGUACCCUGUAUGUGAUCUGAACACAUGAGAUGCAGUUGCUAUCAAACAUCUGAACCCCAUGGAUCAGUUGGAGCAGUUGCUAGAUGGCAAGCUAUUGUUGAGGGUAUAGUGCAUAAUUUAUAGAAACCUUGUUUCGCUAUACAACACUAGAAGAGGUACUAUAAUCUUAUACAUGUCAUAAUAAGGUUCUUGCUUUAUUUUGUUCAAGCUGAUACUGUAAUACAGUUAAGUCAUCUUGUAGUGUUGGUUAUUACAUUAUGUGUUGACAGACUGCUUCUGUACAGUUUAUGUUUACUUUUGUCUCCUGUUUCAACAUCAGCAGCAAUUUCAAGAUCAACAUGAGCAACAGUUUCAUCAUCAACAUUUGUUUACUUAUGUCUCCUAGCAG